UUUAGGUACUGGUUUUUUUUUACUUUUUCGAAUGAUUUUCAUUUUUUUUCUUUUUUCUUAACAAAGAUUUUGUUUUUCAUAAAGCAUUUUAUCAGCUUUGAUUAUACGGAUGUUAGAGAAUGAUGGAAUAGUAAUCAAACUCUUGAAGCAGAACAAAGAAGGAUUCCUAGCACUCAAAAUGACAGUCGCCUUAACAAAUGGAGAAGACCACCAGAUGAAUGGAUAAAGUAUAAUGUUGAUAGAUUUUUUAUUAAUGUGGAUCAAGCAAGUAAAGUGGGUUUUAUUAUCAGGGACUCUUUUGGAAGCUAUCAAGGAACAGUGCAGGCAGUAGGAAAAAAAGUUCAGAAUGUCCUUGAAAGUGAGUUACAAGCAAUUCUUAUGGCUCUUCAACAUGCUUGGAGUAGAAGUUACAUGAAAGUGACUGUAGAAAAGCAAUUGACAUCCUCAAUCGUCAAGUUCUUCAUUUUGAUGGAUAUAAUUGGACACGAGAAAUUAUAUAGUAGAGUAGAAAACUGGAAUAAUGCAAUUUAUAUGGACAAACAGAAACUCAAAUCAGGUGGCAGAUAAAUUAGCGAAGCGGGAGAUUCAUGGAGAUGUGUCCUAUUUAUAUUAUAACUAUGUUCCUUGCUUUCUUAAUUAUGUAUUACACUACGACUUUACAAUUUCUAUGUCAUAAUAAAAUCCCGCAAGUGUUUAAAAAAAAGGCAUUUUAUUAGCCAAUCAAGAUUCAUAAAAACUUGAUUUCUUAAAAGGGAAACAAAAACUUUUUCAAUAGCCAAUCAAGAUUCAGCUUCAAAGCACCAUACCAUAUAAUCAGGUCUCAUUCUUUUUUUCUCUGCAACUGUCUUUAAACUAGAGUCUGGAUAUAGCUUGUACGGACAACAUACUUAGCAUGUAUUCUUCUGUGGCUUAUGAGCCAACACAUGCGCAACCAAACAUUAUCAGUAAGACAGUAACCCAUAUGAUAAUCACUAUCAACAACCAUACACCGAUUCUUAUGUUGGAGGAUAUGUGCCCCCAGCUUCACAUCCACCAAUGCAACAAGCAACCAUGUUUAUGCCUCACCAAGCUCAGCCAGCACCACAGCCAUCAUAUCCUUCGGCACCUGCAAGCAAUGCUCAGCCAUCCAUGAGAACUACUUUUGUUCCAUCAACUCCCCCUGCACUGAAGAACGCAUACCAAUAUUAGCAGCCAACCAUUGCUUCUCAUUCAUUCACCCUAUGUGAUCAGGGACAAUCUAACAAUGCAUACCCCGUUCCUCCUGGUCCUGGUUCAUAUGCAUCCUCUGUCCCUUCACAAAUUAGGAAAUAUUCUAACCCCAAGAUGCCCCAAGUAGUUGGUCCAGGAGCUGGACCCAUAGGAUUUACACCUAUGUCAACUCCAGGAGUUGCUCCAAGAUCUGUUAUAGGUUCUGUGCAACCAGCAAGUCCUCAAACACAGCAGGCAGCCCAUGCCCCUGCAGCUCCGCCACCAACUGUUCAGACUGUAGAUACUUCCAACGUCCCAGCGCACCAGAAACCUGUGAUAGCAACAUUGACAAGGCUAAUGACAAGAGAGAAGAUAUAUUUUAUGCAUGAAACAUUACAGUUAGAGAAAGAAAAUGCUCCUGAGAAGCUAAUACACCAUUGCUCGGAUCUCAUACAGACAAAAUUAAACAUAUACUGUUUACAUACGUGCAACUAAACCAUUAUAUACAAUCCAAUGCUCAUCGUAACCUGUACGAUUUUACUAGUAAGGGAAGAUGCACACAAUGUUGAAACACACACAUUUUGAUAAUAGUUUGGUCCCAUGUUAAAGAUAUUUUACCACCAAAAAUGCCAAGCCUAUAUAGUAACUACUACAUUUUACUAUCAUGAAUCAAAGUA